GUGGGGAAUAUUGGACAAUGGGCGAAAGCCUGAUCCAGCCAUGCCGCGUGAGUGAUGAAGGCCUUAGGGUUGUAAAGCUCUUUCAGUAGGGAAGAUAAUGACGGUACCUACAGAAGAAGCCCCGGCUAACUUCGUGCCAGCAGCCGCGGUAAUACGAAGGGGGCUAGCGUUGUUCGGAUUUACUGGGCGUAAAGCGCACGUAGGCGGAUUGGUCAGUUAGAGGUGACAUCCUGGAGCUCAACUCCAGAACUGCCUUUAAUACUGCCAGUCUAGAGUCCAGAAGAGGUGAGUGGAACUCCUAGUGUAGAGGUGGAAUUCGUAGAUAUUCGGAAGAACACCAGUGGCGAAGGCGACUCACUGGCCCAAUACUGACGCUGAGGCGCGAAAGCGUGGGGAGCAAACAGGAUUAGAAACCCUUGUAGUCC
rnacentral:rRNA from 1 species